rnacentral:lncRNA from 1 species
AUAUGAUUUGAUAUAAAAUUUGAUUUUCUUUCUUCUUGUUGCAGAUAAGGCCUUCAGUAUAUCAAGAUCAGUGGAUCAAAGAAACAUCCUCAAGAAACUAAGAAACAACACAAGAUUCUCUCUGAUGAAAUGCUUAAGUAUAAGGAAAAUGAUGGAAGACACAGAAGAGCAGCAGAAUUGGGUAGAAGACUACUACAGAUGCCAGAUCGCCACUUCUGAAAGAAAGGCUUACGACAACUGGCUCUGUGUUUAAGCCUCGCAGAGGGAGAUGCAAGAGAAGAAGGCUGCCUACAAGCAGCACAGGAAAUGAUUGAAAAACAGAGAGUGCUGGAGAGACACAUUAGUCAGGAGCCAGCUAGUGGACAACCAGGCAUAGAGAAUCAUCCCCAAAGAGGUCAAUAUGGCUUUGGGAGGGCCCCUUUUUCAGGAUUGCCCUACUUGCUCUACUGCAUGGCUGGCUCUUCAGGACCAUUUGUGGGCUGCCAGACACCUCCUCUGCCUGGGUGGCCUCUGGGAACACGACCACUGCCUCCAUGCACACCACUUGGACAAGCUGAAAUUUGAAGAGGCCCCUGAGCUGUGACAGCCAUGCUGUGGCUCCUACAUAACUUGGAAAAGUAUCCAAUACAUUUUACGCUGCCUGCCCAGUGCUGCCUCAUCUGUCUCUAAUCUUCUGUAGUGUUUCCCCUAAUAAAGGUUUGCAGUCCUAUCUGUUUGGGCGUCUGUUUUCUGGAGGACCAGAUGACCCCCCGGUGUACCAGGUAUGAUUCCUCAUACACUGUUCAAACCCAGGCAGAUAUUGCAGUGCUGGCUGCAGAAGCAGGGUUGCCCUUUGGGUAGUGUCGACUGGGAGG